CUCGGCGCUUCUAGCGAUAGGGUCACACCCGAUCCCAUUCCGAACUCGGCCGUUAAGCCUGUCAGCGCUGAUGGUAGCUCGCAAGGGCGAGAGUAAGCCAGUGCCGGGA
rnacentral:rRNA from 1 species